CUCCAGUUAUAAAUGCUGAAUGAAUUCCAGCUUCAUUUGCACCUUUAAUGUCAUGGUGAAGCGAGUCCCCCACAGCAAUAGAAUCCAAAGCAUCCGCACCAGCCAUGGCCAUGGCCGAUUUGUAAAUAAUCUUAUCUGGCUUGCCCAUCCAUUUAACUUCACCCCCAAGCUUCUCAUAUUUUGCAGCUAAUGUACCAGGCAUAACUCGCAAGGCUCUAGCUUCAACAGUCACAAAGUCUGGAUUGGCUACUACCAUAGGAAUUCUUUUAGCAGCACAACGCUCCAAUAUUUUCUCAAGCUCUUCAAGAGUCAUAGGACAAACAGCACCAGAAGGGUGCCCCAAGGCUUCAGUACCAUGGGCCAAAACAAACUCAGCUUCUUCAACAUUUUCCACAAUUUGUAAAUCAAGGCCCUUAAGUGAUAUAGCACCCCGGUCACUCCAGGUCAUGUGAAUGCAAGAUUUUCCUAAUGCUGCAAACCAGUCAUCAUCUCUCCUCUG
rnacentral:misc_RNA from 1 species